UACAGAGGGUGCAAGCGUUGCUCGGAAUCAUUGGGCGUAAAGGGUAGGUAGGUGGUCUCAUUUGUCUGGGGUGAAAGCCCAGGGCUUAACCCCUGGAAGUGCCCCGGAAACGGUGAGACUGGAGUCUUGGAGAGGGUCGUGGAAUUCCCGGUGUAGCGGUGAAAUGCGUAGAGAUCGGGAGGAACACCUGUGGCGAAAGCGGCUCACUGGACCAUAACUGACGCUGAUGCACGAAAGCUGGGGGAGCAAACAGG
rnacentral:rRNA from 1 species